rnacentral:rRNA from 1 species
GCCUACGGGGCGCAGCAGUGAGGAAUAUUGGUCAAUGGUCGGGAGACUGAACCAGCCAAGCCGCGUGAGGGGUGAAGGUACAGAGUAUCGUAAACCUCUUUUGUCAGGGAACAAAGGCGGGGACGCGUCCCCGGAUGAGUGUACCUGAAGAAAAAGCAUCGGCUAACUCCGUGCCAGCAGCCGCGGUAAUACGGAGGAUGCGAACGUUAUCCGGAUUUAUUGGGUUUAAAGGGUGCGCAGGCGGUCUGUUAAGUCAGCGGUCAAAGCCCGGGGCUCAACCCCGGCCCGCCGGUGAAACUGGCAGG